rnacentral:lncRNA from 1 species
GUAUGUCUUGGGAGACCUUUCCAAAUUAGGAUGUAUAGCUCUAGCUCAUUCUCUGCAGUGAAGGAGACAGCACGCUGAGGACAGUCCUAAAGGAUUGCUCUCUUAUCCUGCUCUGUCCCGCCAAGGCAGCCUCCCAGAGAAAAACUUCAGUGGAAACUUGCCACCUUGCCCUGACCUGGGCAGGAGAGAACGCUGGGGGACUACAGCUGAUCGUGUCCCUCCUGGAUGACGGGCUCGGGCGUGCCGGGGCGCGAGGGAGACGGGAGCUGAGCCCAGGGCGCGCAGGGACCGCUGAGCGCCCGGCGUCUGUCGUCUGUUAGCAGAAGUGCGUCUGGCUGUGACCUCAGCGGCUCCACCGAGGCUGGAAGCCUCCAGCACGGGUGGGAGCCGGUCCACUUGCCCGCCCCUCGCCUGGGUCAGCAGAGGCUUCUCCUGAGAGACCGACGGCCCCACCAGCUCGGGUGGAAGUGGGGCGAGCCCCAGAGACGGCUUACCCCACUUAGAAGAUCCGCCCGCGGGCCCUUAGUGGGUGAAAUGAAACCUAAGAACUCAGAGGAUACUUGGAGUGGAAGUGGGUCUUUGAAUGUCUCCCUCCAGAGCGGAUGCUGCAGGUGGGUCCGUGGCUCCAGGGCAGUGCAGAGAGUCCCAGUGGUUUAGUUCCCAAGUGAGCUCACAAUUGUUGUGUAGCCUCCAAACCACUUCCAUAGCAAUCUUGCUUGCCCUCGUUCAUCCUGUUUUUAAGCAGUUGCCUCUAGUGAUUAAAAAAGAAAAAUAUUGCAAGAGCAAAUUGGAAAAUACAUGCUACGUCAAAAGCUGUUUUGAGGUAUAGUAUUUCUUCUUG